UCUUGCUCUCUCUCUUUUGCUCUCUCCCCCCUCACUCUCCCUACCCCUACUUCUUUGCAUUUCUAAAGAUGACACAUGGCAGAAGAAAGGCUGUAUGAUGCCUUUACCUGUGAGAGAGCUAUUCUAGAAGUUCAGAAAAGUUCAUAAAUGGUGGCCUCCAUUGACCACAGAGACCCACACUGCGGGAGAGGGGCCACGGCAGGGUAGGCUGCCUGGCACCAGUUGGCAAGGAUUGCCAUAUCGUGCAAGUUCCAGGUGUUGAGCAGCAGUCUUGGCUCAGAGCUGGUUGCAACAGCAGUAACUCAGAAGUUUAUAAUCAAGAGAAAUUUGUCUCCUGGCUCUAGUGAUUGGGAGAGUGACAUGAUGCAGAGUGAGUGCCUGGCGAGGGUCAGCUUUCUGAUUCAUAGGCAUCUUUCUGUGUUCUCACUGGGGUACAGAGGUUAUUGUGAGAGACACUGAAACUAUACAUGAGGCCUCUAACCCCAUAAUCUGAUCAGACUCCCAAAAGUCCU
rnacentral:lncRNA from 1 species